CCUACGGGUGGCAGCAGUGAGGAAUAUUGGUCAAUGGCCGAGAGCCUGAACCAGCCAAGUCGCGUGAGGGAUGACGGUCCUACGGGUUGUAAACCUCUUUUGUCGGGGAGCAAAGAGGGUGACGUGUGGCCCAUUUAGCGUAACCGAAGAAAAAGCAUCGGCUAACUCCGUUCCAGCAGCCGCGGUAAUACGGAGGAUGCGAGCGUUAUCCGGAUUUAUUGGGUUUAAAGGGUGCGCAGGCGGAGGUGCAAGUCAGUGGUCAAAUUGCGGGGCUCAACCCCGUACAGCCGUUGAAACUGGAUCCCUGGAGUGGGAGAGAAGUAUGCGGAAUGCGUGGUGUAGCGGUGAAAUGCAUAGAUAUCACGCAGAACUCCGAUUGCGAAGGCAGCAUACCGGCGCCAAACUGACGCUCAUGCACGAAAGCGUGGGUAUCGAACAGGAUUAGAUACCCCUGUAGUC
rnacentral:rRNA from 1 species